rnacentral:sRNA from 1 species
AAAACCCUCAGGGCAGAGAGCAGCCCUACACUCCCUACACCGCACCCAUACUCAGCCCCUGCAGGCAAGGAGAGAACAGGUCAGGUUCCCGAGAGCUCAGGAACAUGGAGCUGAUCCAGGACACCUCCCGCCCGCCACUGGAGUACGUGAAGGGGGUCCCGCUCAUCAAGUACUUUGCAGAGGCACUGGGGCCCCUGCAGAGCUUCCAAGCCCGACCUGAUGACCUGCUCAUCAACACCUACCCCAAGUCUGGCACCACCUGGGUGAGCCAGAUACUGGACAUGAUCUACCAGGGCGGCGACCUAGAGAAGUGUAACCGGGUUCCCAUCUACGUACGGGUGCCCUUCCUUGAGGUCAAUGAUCCAGGGGAACCCUCAGGGCUGGAGACUCUGAAAGACACACCGCCCCCACGGCUCAUCAAGUCACACCUGCCCCUGGCUCUGCUCCCUCAGACUCUGUUGGAUCAGAAGGUCAAGGUGGUCUAUGUUGCCCGAAACCCAAAGGACGUGGCGGUCUCCUACUACCAUUUCCACCGUAUGGAAAAGGCGCACCCUGAGCCUGGGACCUGGGACAGCUUCCUGGAAAAGUUCAUGGCUGGAGAAGGUGGGCUUGACUGGAGGAAGGAGGGUGUGAAGCCGAGGGGUGGUGGCUAUAACGUACAGCAACCCUGUGUCGGUGCCCCCUGCCCGCUUCUCUAGUGUCCUACGGGUCCUGGUACCAGCACAUGCAGGAGUGGUGGGAGCUGAGCCGCACCCACCCUGUUCUCUACCUCUUCUAUGAAGACAUGAAGGAGGUGAGACCGCCUGUGAUGCUUCCCCCCAUGUGACACCUGGGGGCAGGCACCUCACAGGGACCCACCAAGGCCACCCAGCCCCGUCCCUGGGCGGCUCCCACAGCAAGCCCAGAUUCCCCAUCCUACCUCCCUGGCCCAGGCCCCCCGACUGCAGCCCCACCUGGCAGCAGGCUCGGCACAGCUUUCAUCUUCUGCACCUGAGUCAGCUGCAUGGGUGGCCACGGAUCAGAUACUUAGUCCUAUUGCUUAUCCUCACCAAAGGGUGUGCUACCCAGGGCCACAGUCACGGAAGAAGACCAUCCCGGUCCUCACCCAUAGGCGCCAAGCCCUGUUCAUGAUGGGAUCACAGGGCAGAGAUCAAUUCAUUUUACUCCAGAGACUAGGGCCCCAGGGGUUGAGGCUCUUUGGGGUUUCUA